GGCAGAGACACCUCCACAUCAGGGGCUGUGACUUCCGCCUUGGAGACUUUUAGGUCCAGCUUGGGGCCCUUGAUGUCCACCUGGGGGCCCUUGAGGUCCACUUUGGGCAUCUUGAAACUGGGCAUCUCCACUUUGGGCAGGUGCACUUUGGGGCCGGCUCCCUCGGGCACAGGGCCCUCCGGAAGUUUCACAUCCACUUGGCCAGCCUGGACCUCCAGGUCAGCGGAAGGGGGCUGAAUGCUGAGGUCAGUGGCCUUGAGGUCCCCCUGCAUGGAGGAGAGGCUCACGUCGGCCUCCACCUUCGGCGCAGACAC
rnacentral:lncRNA from 1 species